UCGAGCGUCAUUACAACCACUCAAGCCUUUGCUUGGUCUUGGGGCUCGCGGUCUCGCGGCCCCUAAAAUCAGUGGCGGUGCCGGUCGGCUCUACGCGUAGUAAUACUCCUCGCGACAGGGUCCGGACGGUGUCUUGCCAGCAACCCCCAUAUUAUUUUCAGGUUGACCUCGGAUCAGGUAGGGAUACCCGCUGAACUUAA
rnacentral:misc_RNA from 1 species